GUAGGUGGCAAGCGUUGUCCGGAAUUAUUGGGCGUAAAGCGCGCGCAGGCGGUUCUUUAAGUCUGAUGUGAAAGCCCACGGCUCAACCGUGGAGGGUCAUUGGAAACUCGAGAACUUGAGUACAGAAGAGGAAAGCGGAAUUCCACGUGUAGCGGUGAAAUGCGUAGAGAUGUGGAGGAACACCAGUGGCGAAGGCGGCUUUCUGGUCUGUAACUGACGCUGAGGCGCGAAAGCGUGGGGAGCAAACAGGAUUAGAUACCCUGGUAGUCCACGCCGUAAACGAUGAGUGCUAAGUGUUAGGGGGUUUCCGCCCCCCUUAGUGCUGCAGCUAACGCAUUAAGCACUCCGCCUGGGAUACGGCCGCAAGGCUG
rnacentral:rRNA from 1 species